CCCGGCUUCGGGCUGUCCGGCAAGCCGCGCCGCGUCUUCGACGUGGUGGAGCACGCCGAUGUGGUGGCGGCCUGGAUCGACGCCGCCGGGCUGGGU
rnacentral:tRNA from 1 species